rnacentral:rRNA from 1 species
UACGAAGGGGGGCGAGCAUUGUUCGGAAUUACUGGGCGUAAAGGGCGCGCAGGCGGCCUUAGAAGUCAGAUGUGAAAGCCCCGGGCUCAACCUGGGAAUGGCAUUUGAUACUCUGAGGCUGGAGUACGGGAGAGGAGAGUGGAAUUCCCAGUGUAGAGGUGAAAUUCGUAGAUAUUGGGAAGAACACCGGUGGCGAAGGCGGCUCUCUGGACCGUAACUGACGCUGAGGCGCGAAAGCGUGGGGAGCAAACAGG